GUCUAUGCCCAUACCACCAUAAACAUGCCAGACUUUAUCUGAUCUCAGAAGCUAAACAGGGUCGGGGCCUAGUUAACACUUGGAUGGGAGACAAAGGGGAAGGUAUUGGAGGUAUCAGCU
rnacentral:rRNA from 1 species